CGGACCGGUCUAAUUCGAUUCUCCUCCAAGCAUGCGACGGAAUCGGUGGUCGGGAACUCCUCCCGACGAAGACGUUGGCGGGCGGCGGAGCGCUUCUAUAUCUACUAUGAAACCCUAGGCCUUCGAUGCUUCAAUGCUGUUCCGGCCGAAUCUCUCAUCUCUACCGCGAAUUCCUCGCCGCUGCUCGACAAGCUGUCACCUGCUCUCGUGUCUGGCGGCGGAGGUUGCCUCCGAGGAGGAGCAGGAGCUUGUGCCCGGUUCUUCUUCUACCUCAGAGACCAGGAAUUUCUUGGGAAAAAUUGUCCCUUUACUCAAACCAGAGGCCGAAAGGAUUGUUCCGUGUGGAUUCGUCCACGAGGGCAUCAGUCAACAUGGGGCUCUGAAGAAGGAAAUGGUACCGUGCCCUAAAUUUCAUGUGAGAUACUGGAUAUCGAGGUUGGAGGCUUGCCACGCCUUGGCCAGAGACGGGAGAUUGGACGACAUUAUAAGGGUUUUGCGACAGAUGGUGUAUGACCAAGGAGCUGGAUCGGCACCAUUAUUCUGCGAGCACUUGUUGACUCAUUUCAGACAUUGGGAUUCCAGCAGCAUUGUGUGGGAUAUGCUGGCAAAUAUAUAUGCUAGAUCAAAAAUGAUUGAUGAUGCUCGUUUCGUAUUACGUGAGAUGGCUAUCUUGGACAUGCAAGCUUCUGUAUCUACUUAUCACAGUGUCUUAUACAGUGCAAAAUAUACAGAUAUUGUUCUUGAUCUUUAUCGAGAAAUCCAAGCUAGUGGGGUUUAUUGUGGAGGGCACACAAUUGAUCUCCUUAUUGAUGGUCUCUGCAAACAAGGAAGAGUGCAAGAUGCAAUAUCAUUCUUCCAAGAGAUAAGCAAAGAGAAAUCAUUUUACCCUUGUUUGAUUACCUUCAAUUCUCUCAUAUCCGGAGCAUGUAAUUCUGGCUUUAUCUUGAUCGCAUGGUCUCUCCUCUCUCUUUCCUUUAAGUAUGGAUUUGUUCCAGAUAAAUAUAGUUACAAUGCGCUUAUGCAUGGAUUGUGUCUAGCAGGAAAGGUGGAAGAAGCUUUGGAACUCUUUGAGCGCAUGCAAAAUGAUGGCAUAGAGGCUGAUGUGGUUAUGUAUAAUACUCUUAUAAAUGGGUGUCGCUUAAUUGGAUCGAUGCGUGAGAUCUGGAUGCUCAUUAGAAUGAUGAUAAAACAGGGACUGCAGCCUGAUCUCUUUACUAAUACUAUUGUGAUAAGUGGUCUUUGUGAUGAAGGCAAUGUCAAUGAAGGAUUGAAGAGGAUGGAUAUGCUUGAUAGGGGAUGCAAGCUGAAUAUUGUGACUUACAGUGUUCUCUUCAUUGCCCUUUUCAAAAGAGCAUCGAUUGCGAAAGUUGAAGAGUUGCUCAAUGAGAUAAAAGAUAAUAACCUCGAUAUGGAUCUGGUAGCAUAUUCCAUCCUCAUAAGUGGGUAUUGCAAAUUAGGAGAAAUAAACAAGGCACUUCAGUUAUGCCAGAUUAUGCGCUCAAACAAUGUGAUGCCUAUUUCAUUAUUUCACAGAACAAUUCUUUCCGGCAUGUGCAAGAAAGGUUUGAUGUCAGAAGCGAAGUGGUAUUUGGAGUACCUAGUUGCUAAUGGUCAGGCAUUGGACAUUACAUUAUAUAACAUUGUUAUCGAUGGUUUUGCAAAAGUUGGUGAUGUCAAAGAAGCUCUUGGAAUAUAUGAGCAACUAAUUAGGUCGGCCGUAACUCCUACAGUUGUGACUUAUAAUUCCUUGAUUUAUGGCUUUUGUAAGAUUGGAAAUCCAACCGAUGCAAAGGAAUUUUUGAAGCAAAUGGAUAUGCAUGGAUUGGCUCCUACAGCCACAACCUACAGUACACUUAUUGAUGGAUUUUGUGAAAUUGGGGAUAUCAAUUCCAUGAGGAUGAUGCUUGAGGAAAUGGAUGGGAGAGCAAUCAUACCCAAUAAAAUUACUUAUAGUGUAGUUAUUAAGGCGCUUUGUAAAAGUGGUCAAGUAAGAGAGGCUUUUGAUAAACUGAACAAUAUGGUUACAUUGGGUAUAGGUGCCGACUCGAUCACCUAUACUACAGUUAUGAAAGGUUUUUGUGAACAGAGAAAUUCAAAAAUGGUUUUCCACAUAUAUGAUAUAAUGAUAAAUGGUGGACUGGUGCCUACUCCUGUUACUUAUACCUAUCUCAUUGAUUGUCUUUGUUUAAAUUGUCAAGUUGACAGAGCAGAGGAGGUUUUGUAUUUUCUUUUGCAUCAGGGUAUCAGAUUGAGAAAAUUUUGCUAUAUGACAGUCAUUCAAGCAUAUUGUGGGAUGGCAAUGCCGGAUAAAGCCUUUGUGCUCUUAGAUGAAAUGCUGAAAUCUGGAUAUGAGGUUACAAUCAAAGAUUUUAGUGCAAUAAUCAACCGACUAUGUAAACGGGACUUUGUACACGAUGCAAAAAUAUUCUUUAAUAAGAUGUUAGGUAUCGGCAUAUAUCCAGAUCAGGAACUGUCCCUUGUGAUGUAUAAUGCCUUCCUUAAAACCAAUGAUUACAAGUCAUUGUGUACUCUCCUUGCCUUUUUGGUUAAAACAGGAUUGUAGCUACGAUCACAGGAGCACACUGUUCAAGCUUUGCAAUCCCUUGAAUCCUCCUUUGUCAGACAGCAUGAGUCUGGUAGAAGCAACAAAGUUACCAGGAAGCUUACCCUCUUCUGGGUCUAGUAUGCCGAGACGGAUCUCCUCCUAGUUGAUCAUGCUGUGGUUGAUGACCUCCCUCUUAAACGAUGUUGAGUUUAUUACAUUUUGCCUAUUUGAAGAAUUUACUUAGCUGCUUCUUACCCAAAGUUCUGAUACUUGAGCAGUGUUAACAUAAACAGCCCGAUGAUCAAGGACACAAAGAACAUUCAAGUAAAGAUUUUUGGGGUGACUUGCAAAUCUUAGUUGCAACUCCAUCAUCUGAUAUCCCAAAAUUGAUUUCCUCCUAGUUGAUGUGGUUGACCAUGUCCCUGCUCUAGCGACAUGGAGUCAGUCAGAUUUCGUCUAAUGUCCCAGCUCUAUUGGAAGGUCAUGCAGUUUAUGCUUAUCCCCUGCCUGAAUCUUGUGACGUAUGAACUGAUUCUGCACACUUCUGUCAAGUGACUUUGCUCUAUCUGUUUCCUUCAAUGUUAUAACGCUGCUUAUUGGCAUUGGUUGAGGGCACUGACUAGUCACGUCAGACAACUCUUCGUUGAGACCUUGUCAGACGAGCAAAUACAUUGUUCACUGUUAUAAUGCCGCUUAUUGGCAUUGAUCGAGGGCACUGACUAGCAUGUUAGACAACUCUUUAUCGAGACCUGGUUGGACGAGAUUACAACUUCUCAUCUCAAAAAUCAAUAGAAGAUAACAAGAUAAAGAGAGAUCUUCUCCGGCAGUCGUCGCCAGUGGUGAUCACCGCCACACAGGGUUUGCCAACUUGGGAUUUGCACUGAGGUAUUAAGCAGGAAAAUAUGGCCUCCGUGGAGGGUUCAGGGUUUCAGAUUGGGAUGGUUGGGUCUCUAGCUCUCUCAGUUGCCUCCUCGGUUUCCAUUGUCAUAUGCAACAAAGCUCUCAUGAGCAGCCUUGGCUUCCCUUACGCUACAACCCUGACAAGCUGGCAUCUAAUGGUGACCUUCUGCACCCUCCAUGUUGCACAGCGCUUCCACCUCUUCGAGCCCAAAUUGAUUGAUGCAAAGACAGUGGUUCUCUUCGGGAUUCUUAACGGCACCUCCAUUGGAUUCCUUAACCUCUGCCUUGGCUUCAACUCGGUUGGAUUCUACCAGAUGACUAAACUAGCCAUCAUCCCUUUCACAGUCCUGCUGGAGACUAUAUUCCUGAAGAAAAAAUUCAGCAAGAGCAUAAAGUUCUCUCUUCUUGUCCUGCUCUUUGGAGUUGGCAUUGCAUCGGUCACAGAUCUGAACCUCAACCUUGUCGGCUCAAUCCUCUCGUUUCUGGCUAUUGCUACUACAUGUGUUGGACAAAUUAUGACGAACACAAUUCAAAAGAGGUUGAAGGUUUCAUCCACACAGCUUCUGUAUCAAUCAUCACCAUUCCAAGCAGCUAUUCUAUUUGCCACUGGCCCAUCUGUGGACAGACUGCUCACCAAGCGAAGCGUGUUUGCCUACAACUAUUCCUUUAUGGUUCUGGUGUUCAUUGUCUUGUCUUGCUUGAUCGCGGUUUCUGUCAACUUCAGCACCUUCCUAGUAAUUGGAACGACAUCACCAGUGACAUAUCAAGUUCUUGGCCACGUCAAGACCUGCCUCAUUCUUUCCUUCGGCUACAUUAUACUUCACGACCCCUUCACAGCUAGAAACAUUAUGGGAAUCCUGACCGCCGUCUUUGGAAUGGGUCUGUAUUCAUAUUUCUCUGUGCAAGAGAGCAAGAAGAAAUCAGCAAACGAUUCUUUGCCCAUUUCGCAGAUGGCACAGAAAGAGACAGUGGCGCUCCUGGCAAGCAAGAACCAAGAUAAAGACCACAAUGAGACAAAAAGAUCAAAUGGAAUCCCUGCAGCUUCCAAGGACUCUUUUGAGUGACACAAUGCAUAAUUAUAUCUCCAGGGAUAAAUAUAUGGAUAGGUUUCUUGUUCUGAUAUUAAAAGCAGUUGAAUUAGGUUUACUUGAUUUUUUUUUAAAUGAGUAUAAAACCUCACUUGUUUCUGCAAUAAUAGUUGAUACGGAAGUUGUCUCA